UGCUUAACACAUGCAAGUCGAGCGGUAAGGCCCUUCGGGGUACACGAGCGGCGAACGGGUGAGUAACACGUGGGUGAUCUGCCCUGUACUUCGGGAUAAGCCUGGGAAACUGGGUCUAAUACCGGAUAUGACCUUACAUCGCAUGGUGUUUGGUGGAAAGAUUUAUCGGUACAGGAUGGGCCCGCGGCCUAUCAGCUUGUUGGUGGGGUAAUGGCCUACCAAGGCGACGACGGGUAGCCGGCCUGAGAGGGCGACCGGCCACACUGGGACUGAGACACGGCCCAGACUCCUACGGGAGGCAGCAGUGGGGAAUAUUGCACAAUGGGCGAAAGCCUGAUGCAGCGACGCCGCGUGAGGGAUGACGGCCUUCGGGUUGUAAACCUCUUUCGACAGGGACGAAGCGCAAGUGACGGUACCUGUAGAAGAAGCACCGGCCAACUACGUGCCAGCAGCCGCGGUAAUACGUAGGGUGCGAGCGUUGUCCGGAAUUACUGGGCGUAAAGAGCUUGUAGGCGGUUUGUCGCGUCGUCCGUGAAAACUUGGGGCUCAACCCCAAGCUUGCGGGCGAUACGGGCAGACUUGAGUACUGCAGGGGAGACUGGAAUUCCUGGUGUAGCGGUGAAAUGCGCAGAUAUCAGGAGGAACACCGGUGGCGAAGGCGGGUCUCUGGGCAGUAACUGACGCUGAGAAGCGAAAGCGUGGGUAGCGAACAGGAUUAGAUACCCUGGUAGUCCACGCCGUAAACGGUGGGCGCUAGGUGUGGGUUUCCUUCCA
rnacentral:rRNA from 1 species